rnacentral:rRNA from 1 species
AACGAACGCUGGCGGCAUGCCUAACACAUGCAAGUCGAACGAGACCUUCGGGUCUAGUGGCGCACGGGUGCGUAACACGUGGGAAUUUGCCUCGGGGUAUGGAAUAACUCAGGGAAACUUGAGCUAAUACCAUAUAAUGUCUUCGGACCAAAGAUUUAUCGCCCUGAGAUAAGCCCGCGUAGGAUUAGCUAGUUGGUGAGGUAAAGGCUCACCAAGGCGACGAUCCUUAGCUGGUCUGAGAGGAUGAUCAGCCACACUGGGACUGAGACACGGCCCAGACUCCUACGGGAGGCAGCAGUGGGGGAAUAUUGGACAAUGGGCGAAAAGGCCUGAUCCAGCAAUA